rnacentral:rRNA from 1 species
UACGAAGGGGGCUAGCGUUGCUCGGAAUCACUGGGCGUAAAGGGUGCGUAGGCGGGUCUUUAAGUCAGGGGUGAAAUCCUGGAGCUCAACUCCAGAACUGCCUUUGAUACUGAGGAUCUUGAGUUCGGGAGAGGUGAGUGGAACUGCGAGUGUAGAGGUGAAAUUCGAUAGAUAUUCGCAAGAACACCAGUGGCGAAGGCGGCUCACUGGCCCGAUACUGACGCUGAGGCACGAAAGCGUGGGGAAGCAAACAGGG